rnacentral:snoRNA from 1 species
CUACAGAUUCUAUUACUAGUCCUGCUAUGAUGCUGAAGAAGUGAACCAUGUUUGCUAAAGUGAGUUUAAUGUUGGAGAAUUUAUCACCCCUUAAAGUCGAGUUUUCCAGGGCUAUCUGUCAACACAUUGGAGUG